rnacentral:snoRNA from 1 species
GUAAAGUAUAACCCCAGUAUCAUUGACUGCCCGCGCAACAAUCACUCGCGGAUGGUCACUCUAAGCUGGCAGAUAGACGUCUCGAUGAACCACUUAAGUUCCGUUGUGAAGUUUUUGCCCUUCAGGCUGUAUUUCAUGACACUACUGUAGUUCACACACCC